UGGCUCAAAGGUUAAGAGCACUGGCUGCUCUUCCAGAGGACCUGGGUUCAAUUCCCAG
rnacentral:tRNA from 1 species